GGACCCGUAGCUCAGCUGGAUAGAGCGCUGCCCUCCGAAGGCAGAGGUCGUGAGUUCGAAUCUCGCCGGGUCCG
rfam:Alphaproteobacteria bacterium RIFCSPHIGHO2_12_FTLL_66_14 rifcsphigho2_12_scaffold_4676, whole genome shotgun sequence.